rnacentral:rRNA from 1 species
UACGUAGGGGGCAAGCGUUGUCCGGAAUUACUGGGCGUAAAGCGUGCGCAGGCGGUUCUAUAAGACAGAUGUGAAAUCCCCGGGCUCAACCUGGGAACUGCAUUUGUGACUGUAGAGCUGGAGUGCGGCAGAGGGGGAUGGAAUUCCGCGUGUAGCAGUGAAAUGCGUAGAUAUGCGGAGGAACACCGAUGGCGAAGGCAAUCCCCUGGGCCUGCACUGACGCUCAUGCACGAAAGCGUGGGGAGCAAACAGG